CGAAAACCCUUGACUGAAGACGCAAAGAAAAGGAAAAGAGCUUCAGACCGAGCGAGGGGGAGUUUCGUAGAGAAAAAGCAUCAGGCUUGCCUGGUGUCCCUUUAAUCUUAAAAACACAAAUUACAAAUCCUGAAUUAUCUUAAAAACACAAAUUACAAAUCCUGAAAAAUGGGCUGUCCUCAGCCAAAUCUGAGCUACGUCUUUCACGGUUUUGUUGUGAUAAAGACUGAAAAAAAACGUAUUUUUACAUACAAAUUUGUUAUCUUUCACAUCAAUAUAUUAAAAACAUGAAAUUAAACAUAAAUUCUAAAAAUAAAUAUACAACUGUCCCCACGUUUUCGUCAUGCGCCGUCAUGUUUACAUGGAACACUACAUAAAAAAUGCAUUGCUCUUUUACGACUUAAAGGCUGUGACCUCAUUUGACCAAGGUAAUGCUGAAAUUGAUCAAGGGCAAGUCCUUUCAGAAUUAAACUUUUUUUUUUUUUCAGGGGGAUGAUCUAAAGUGCCAGACCCUGUUAUAAUAAAAUAUCCUACAAAAGAAUGGAAUUGUAUAUCUAAAAUAUGUCUGAAAAGGUCACUAAAAUCCUUGCUUACUUGCAAACAUAUUUGAUUUUACCAUGUUCACAGGCAGAGAAAUGGCAUUAAAUUGACUGACUGUUAGGCGCCGUCACAUCAAGCCCUGUCACAGACUUAUAUAACUGCAAUAGAGGGGCGUUCCUAUUGGUCCAAGAUCCUAUUUUCAAAAAGGCAUUUUAUUAAGGUUUUAUAAGGAGUAAAAACAUCCUGAGAAGACACAAUAGGUGUUCCUCAUAGUUUAAGAUUGCGUCCAUAUGACUCAAUGUUCAGAUUCAUGAAUAAGAAUAUUUUUUUCCAAGAUUUCUUUAAGUGAUAAUGUAUGUUUCUGGUAGAACGUCCCACAUGUUCUGGUUGAAUUAUGAAUAAUAGUAAGAUAUCAAAUAAAGAAGCAAGCUAUAUGUAAUAAACUCUUAUUCCUAAUACCCCUCCACUAAACAAGAACCAGUUUUUAACUUCCUAAUGAAUAAAAAUUUAUUUUAAUUCAAAUUCCUAAUACCCUAAUGUAGGAGUUUUUUUUUUUUUUUUACCAUAUUCCAUAUCCUAUAAUUUUAACUCCUUUAAAUCUCUGUAAAGGUAGUUGUGUUUAAAUUAUUUAUAUUCACCAACCAAGGAUUAGUUUGAAAUGAGUUGCUAUUCAGAAAACACUGCUGUACUUUACCUAGUUAAAGUUUAAGGAAUGUAAGUUUAUGUACUGCUGCGCUUGCCCUUUCCUUGAUUAUAACAUCAGACGUUUGGUAAGAAGCACUUUGUUCUCAUAAGUUAUCGUUUGUAGCCUUAAGUAAGUUAUCAUGACUUUAUAACUGUUAUCAUAGUUGCAAAUCUGCAACAGUCCACUCCAAACACAAGAUAGUCGAGAUGGUGCCAUUACCCUCCACAGGAGUGUGCUAUUUUGCUUCAUGCAUUUCAUUUCAUUUACUCGUGUAAAAACAUUUUUUACAUGUACCCUCAAUUGAGAGUGGCUACCUUGUUACACCCCUAUUUUAUAAAUAGGCGUGUGUGUGUGUGUGUGUGUGGGAGAGAGAGAGGGGAGAGAGAGAGGGAGAGACUGCAAGGUUUCUUGACACGUUAUACAUUUGCCGCUGAUCAGAAGAUGUAGCACUCCCCAACAGUGAGCCUGAUAAUGGUAUGUGUAACAUAUAAAACCUUUAUUUUACCUCUGACACUGUAAACAUACAAUAAAGCCAUGGACAUUUC